rnacentral:rRNA from 1 species
AACGAACGCUGGCGGCAUGCCUAACACAUGCAAGUCGAACGAGACCUUCGGGUCUUGUGGCGCACGGGUGCGUACCGCGUGGGAACCUGCCCUUAGGUUCGGUAUACCUCCCCGAAAGGGGUGCUAAUACCGGAUAAUGUCUUCGGACCAAAGAUUUCUCGCUUUUGGAUGGGCCCGCGUUGGUUUCGCUAGUUGGUAGGGUAAAAGCCUAGCAAGGCGACGAUCCAUAGCUGGUCUGGGAGGAGGAUCAGCCACGCUGGGACUGAGACACGGCCCAGACUCCUACGGGAGGGAGCAGUGGGGAAUAUUGGACAAUGGGCGAAAGCCUGAUCCAGCAAUGCCGGGGGAGUGAUGAAGGCCUUAGGGUUGUAAAGCUCUUUUACCCGGGAUGAUAAUGACAGUACCGGGAGAAUAAGCUCCGGCUAACUCCGUG